UACGUAGGUGGCAAGCGUUGUCCGGAUUUACUGGGUGUAAAGGGCGUGCAGCCGGGCUGACAAGUCAGAUGUGAAAUCCCGCGGCUUAACCGCGGAACUGCAUUUGAAACUGUUGGUCUUGAGUAUCGGAGAGGCAGGCGGAAUUCCUAGUGUAGCGGUGAAAUGCGUAGAUAUUAGGAGGAACACCAGUGGCGAAGGCGGCCUGCUGGACGACAACUGACGGUGAGGCGCGAAAACGUGGGGAGCAAACAGG
rnacentral:rRNA from 1 species